UUUCAACGUACGUAUUAUUACACUAAUGUUAAGCGGACAGUGGGAGUAGUUUCCAUAGAAACAACGUAAAUAUUCUUUACCGUUUGCAGCACAGCAAACUCUACGCAUGAAAAUGGCACUGAGAGCCUUAUUGCCAAGGAGAAGUCAUUGCUAACGAGAGAAAAAAACGGACUCCUUGCUGUUUUGGCAUCGUCAUAUAUGAGCCACAGCAACUUACUGGAAGUAGGAGCUACAGCCACACAGAAUCACUCUAUGGGCGUUGAACUGAACACCGUCUGCGAUGAGGACCACGUCACAAAGCUGUCCUGCGAGCCGAAGCUUGUUGAACACUUCGAAAGCCGGGGACAUCAGUACUCGCUCCAUGUCGUGUGCCAUCAUUAUUCAAAAAUGUGGAUGUCUCGUCUCUUUCUCCUUUUUAUACCACUCGAAAUGACGUGUAGCUACGUUCUAAUACGCAAAAACCGCACUUUUGCGUCACAGUGUUCUAAGAUACCGUAACGUUUAUUUUUAAAUCUAUAUUUGAGAUUCGACAUUGAUUGGGGGGAAAAUAUUUUCUAUGCGCAAUCAGCUGUACAAGAAGAACAAGUUAAAUGUUUUUAACAUCACUUUUGGAAAAUGUAUACCGUGCUUAUCUUAGCAUUUACGUUUUGUAUUAUGUGUGAAUUGUCAAAUCACGAAUUCCCGAAAUAAAUAAAAUAGUUCCUUAAUUAAUAAAAAAAUGUUUUCAUAUUUUUUCUCCUCGGCUACGUUUCUAAAAAUGAAAAACAAAAAAGGUCCUUUACAUGACUGUCAGGAACGAGGCUAAAGUUCGUAUCUUAUUCCCUAGUUUCCACCUUAAACAUAAGCCACUGAGCAACAAAUGUCCACAGGACAUUAUUUUAUGGGCUAAAUCUGGUCGGCCCGUUGUGGCCUUUAUUUAGAACAAAAAUGGUCCUUGAAAAUUGGGCUGCGUAGUCCGUCUGUUUUGGUCCACAUUUAGCACAAGGCGGACGUAUUUUUCGGACCGCAAAUAUCCCCAAUACAGUCAUGAAAACAUAUUGCAGCAAGUGUGGAAUUAUCACAAUGAUUAUUGUGCUGUGUACAGUACACUUCACCCAAAUCCUGAACACUAUUGCAUAUAAUCGAUUAUAUAUUAUAGAGCAGUUAUGUUACAAUCAAGGUUUUUAAGUUUGUUUUCCUGCAGCUUCGCGGCACCCAUCGUUCUUGCGCACCCCCACACAGAUGGACGAGUUAAGUUAGAAGUGGAUGGGAGUAGCGGCAGGACAGAUAUUCCGAGGGCGCCCAUUGAACGAUGGCAACAGUGUGGAACAACUAAAAUAACCAAUCAGCACAGGACAACAAGAAGCAGACGGCGUAACAAGGAUCGAAAGCCUGGGGGCUGAAGCUAAUUCAGUGGUAAAGACAUGAGCUCGUCUCUUGGAGGUCGACGUGAGGAGGUCUGCACUGGAAAAGACCACACUGAGACCAAACAGCUGUCUCCCUUCCUCCAUCUCUGAGCUACAGGAUGGUAUGUGUCACCUAACCUCUGCACACUGCACGCAGUGAUUUGCAUAUGCCAUAGGAUGCUUGGCCCUUUGCCUCCUUCCUGAUCCAAACUUCUAGGGUCUCCAUGGGUAACCAGCAUCCUGAUGCCAUGAAGAGGGUGUUGAGGAAGAGGAGAAGCUUCAUGGUGUAGUAAUACCAGCCACAUUUAAAUCAACAUGUAGGAAAAAAAAUCACCUGAGCUGCAAAACACAUAGCAAUCCAGUGGGGGCGCUGUUUGGCUCAUUGAGUUUGGAUGCUAUGUCUAUGAUGGGAAGGUCACCUGUUCAAUGUCACUACUGGGCCCCUCCGUAAGGCCCUUAACCCCCCGUUACUCCAGGCACUGUUUGGCCCUGCUUUCUCAAAAAUGUCGCUUUUUAUGAAAUUGUCUGUUAAAUCUAACAUUCAUUUAAUUGAUAGAAAUGUGCAUCACUGGUGAAAG